rnacentral:lncRNA from 1 species
GGAGUCGACUCGCGCAUUGCGGGAGUCGACUCGAAUCUCAGAGUCCGAAAACUGCUCUCUGACUUUUGCCUUGUGAACCACUGAGAGUCGACUCUCGCUUUCUUUGGAGUCGACCUACCAACCAUUAGAGUCGACUCGCGUUCCACAAGAGUCGACUCAAAUCUCAGGUCGAAAUUCGCUCUCUGACUUUUCUGUCUGUAACUCCUUGGAGUCGACUCAUACUACUCCGGAGUCGACUCGGUAAACAUCGGAGUCGACUCGCGCACUUCAGGAGUCGACUCGCUGACAGGUUUUAAGUUGUGCCCUUCUGUUCGUCUGUCUGUUCUCAGUCGGAGUCGACUCGUAAUGAUCCGGAGUCGACUCGAGCCCGUGCCAGUGAUUCUGAUACGCUUGGAGUCGACUCGUAAUACUCUGGAGUCGACUCGAGUCUCAGACUUUGGUUCAAACUGACUUCUUAACUUAUCCAAAAUAUUAUGAGCCAAGUCUAGAAACACUUUAGACAAGAUUUUCACUGAAACACUCAAUUGAAUUCAUUAGUAAACAAGAGAUAUACUCAGAUGCUUUGAGCUCAUCAAAAUCAAAUAGGGUUAUGAUCAAUCACUCCACA